rnacentral:rRNA from 1 species
UACGAAGGGGGCUAGCGUUGUUCGGAAUUACUGGGCGUAAAGCGCGCGCAGGUGGUCUUUCAAGUCAGCGGUGAAGCCCGGAGCUCAACUCCGGAAAUGCCAUUGAAACUGUAAGACUUGAGGAUGAGAGAGGUGAGUGGAAUUCCCAGUGUAGAGGUGAAAUUCGUAGAUAUUGGGAAGAACACCGGUGGCGAAGGCGGCUCACUGGCUCGAUCUGACGCUCGGCGCGGACAGCGUGGGGAUCGGAAACA